rnacentral:lncRNA from 1 species
AAAUAUUUAUGUAAUCAGAUCCCCAAGGGAUCUACGCAAUCAGCUCUCUCCCUUUUGAGUUUGUGUUUUUUUUCCGGAGGCUUAUUUAAGAAUUCUCUCCUUAUCUCAAGGUCAUUAAGGUUUUCUCUCUGAACCCAGAGCUCAUCUAUUUGGCUGUGUUGACUGAGCAGGAAUGAGGAUCCACCUGUCCCCACCUUCUAGAAAGCUCGAGAUGCACACCACCUGUUCCGGCUUUAAACUUCAGAUCUUGAAUGUCGUCCUCCCAAGACUCAUGUGCUGGAUGCCCAGCCAGUGGAGCUAUGGGGAGAUGGUAGAAUCCUUCAGAAAGCUGGCCUGAUGUGAGCCGACUUCUCCAAGCAAGAUAUAUGUACCAUGCUGCCGCCACAGGCCUGAAGCAACAGAGCUGGGGGACCAUGGAGCUGUACCCUUCUUCAUAAGUGUAUGUGUGUGUGCAUGUACACACACACUGACUAGGAGCUCUAGUUUUUGUCUGUGUCUAGUUAUAAUUGGCAGGUAAUAUUACAUGUUUGUAAGCACAAAAGGGGGCCGACCUUUCCCCGAUCUCCAGUAUUUGUAAAAAUCAAGGUUAUCAAUUUUAAUUAUCUACUUUAUGUAUGUAAGUACAGAUGGCUGUGGUUGUAGAGAAUUGAACUUGGGACCUCUGGUUCUCUCCAGCCGUAAGGUUAAUAAUUUAAUGACUAUGAUGAGGUGAGUGAUUUCACCACAGAAGGCUACUCUUUGCUUGUUUGUCCAGUGCUGGGAAUAGAACUCAGGACUGUAGCAAGAAGUAAUGGUAUCUCACUGGGCUACAGUCCCCAGACUCUCUGACAUAAUGCUUGGACUGAAGCUAAAAAUCUUCAAAUUUCUUCUCUCUGUUGUUCAUUCGCUUCUCAUUUCCAUACCAGAUGUUUGCCUCAGAAGUCUGUAGUCUUUGGCUCUUUGGUCUCAGUUUGAAGUCAUGGGUGGGUAUAUUUUAGGGAUCUCUGUGUAUGUCAACAUUUUCUUUCAUUUUUACGUUGGGACAGGGUGAGGAGGGAAUUGGUAAGGAGAGAAAACAGAAGGAAAGAGUGCAGGUCUCCUUGUUUAAUAUGCAGAAUUUCCUCUAGUCCUGCUAGAGGUGUUCUUGUCCAGCCUGUUGCCAUAUGAAACUCUGGGUCUGAGUCCUCCUCCAUAGUGACAACUGCUCACAAUGAACCCUCGCUGGUGCUUCUGAGUGUAGGGAAGGGGAUGGUCACCUCACAGUGAGCCUGAUGGGAGAUUUGUGGAGAGGGCUCCACCGUGAUCUAGGCAGAGAUUCAACUCUCCUGUUUCCAGUGAUCUGCCUGCCUCAUACCACCAUAUAUCAGGUGACAGGCGCCUUUUGGACAUCUAUAAUCCCGAUACUCUGGAGAUGAGACAAGAAAGAAAUAGAAUUAUACCCAGUCCUUGAAUUUCUACAGAGUUCUGUUCGUCUAAAUGUUAUGAGUUUUUUAUUAAAUAAAAAAUUUCAUCAAUAUAAAGUAUUGAAAGG